rnacentral:rRNA from 1 species
GUUGAACGCUGGCGGCGUGCUUAACACAUGCAAGUCGAUCGGUAACAGGUGUAGCAAUACAUGCUGACGAGAGGCGGACGGGUGAGGAAUAUUUGGGAAUCUGCCCAUCAGCGGGGGACAACCCGGGGAAACCCGGGCUAAUACCGCAUACGCUCUACGGAGGAAAGCCGGGGACCGCAAGGCCUGGCACUGAUGGAUGAGCCCAAAUCGGAUUAGGUAGUUGGCGGGGUAACGGCCCACCAAGGCGACGAUCCGUAGCUGGUCUGAGAGGACGAUCAGCCACACCGGAACUGAGACACGGUCCGGACUCCUACGGGAGGCAGCAGUGGGGAAUAUUGGACAAUGGGGGAAACCCUGAUCCAGCGACGCCGCGUGGGUGAAGAAGGCCUGCGGGUUGUAAAGCCCUUUCGGUAAGGACGAAAGCUCUUGCUCUAACAAGGCAGGAGGUUGACUUAACCUACAUAAGAAGCACCGGCUAACUCUGUGCCAGCCGCCGCCGUAA